UACAGGGGGGGCAAGCGUUGUUCGGAAUUACUGGGCGUAAAGGGCUCGUAGGCGGCCAACUAAGUCAGACGUGAAAUCCCUCGGCUUAACCGGGGAACUGCGUCUGAUACUGGAUGGCUUGAGUUUGGGAGAGGGAUGCGGAAUUCCAGGUGUAGCGGUGAAAUGCGUAGAUAUCUGGAGGAACACCGGUGGCGAAGGCGGCAUCCUGGACCAACACUGACGCUGAGCGAGCGAAAGCCAGGGGAGCAAACGGG
rnacentral:rRNA from 1 species